rnacentral:rRNA from 1 species
ACAGUCACUGACAUUAGACUACCCGGUAGUCCUAACUGUAAACGAUGCGGACUUGGUGUUGGGUGGCUUUGAGCUGCUUCAGUGCCGAAGGGAAGCUGUUAAGUCCGCCGCCUGGGAAGUACGGUCGCAAGACUGAAACUUAAAGGAAUUGGCGGGGAGCACCACAACACGUGGAGCCUGCGGUUUAAUUGGAUUCAACGCCGGACAUCUCACCAGAGGCGACAGCUGUAUGAUAGCCAGGUUGAUGACUUUGCUUGACUAGCUG